CAGUAGCCGCGGUAAUACGUAGGGUGCAAGCGUUAAUCGGAAUUACUGGGCGUAAAGCGUGCGCAGGCGGUUUUGUAAGACAGAGGUGAAAUCCCCGGGCUCAACCUGGGAACUGCCUUUGUGACUGCAAGGCUAGAGUACGGCAGAGGGGGAUGGAAUUCCGCGUGUAGCAGUGAAAUGCGUAGAUAUGCGGAGGAACACCGAUGGCGAAGGCAAUCCCCUGGGCCUGUACUGACGCUCAUGCACGAAAGCGUGGGGAGCAAACAGGAUUAGAGACCCGAGUAGUCCCUGUCUUUUAUAC
rnacentral:rRNA from 1 species